CACUUCCAGACCGGCAAUUUGAAUCCCAGGUUCCACACAGGAAGAGGAGGGGCCAGGUUCCUCCCUGCUGCAAACACGGUGAACUUCGGAGGCUCCAACUCAGUGGGCAGGCUUGUUGGAGUUUCUCCAGGGACCCCCUCCCACCUGGCUGUCUCACAAGGACAACAUGUGGCAGGGAACGAAGACCAUGAUGGAGAAGACACAUUUAAGCUGAGAGGUGUAAGCUGAGAGGUGAAGGGUGAGAGACCUGAAAAUCCGACAAAAGAAGUCCCAGACAGAGGAAACAGUCUGAGUAACUUUCUAGGAUGCUCUUCACUUCUUACAAAUUGGCAUGCCAGGCUGCUGCUCAGGUGAUCUGCCUCUUGGACCGGCUCUGAAAAUGGGACAAUGAUCAGUGCAAGAUUCCUGAGAUGCUGAGACACGAUGGGAUGGAGGAAAGCUAUGGGACAAGUGGCCUUUCAUAGGAGGAGGAGCUCCUUGUCAAAUGUGAGGAACGAAGCAGGACAGGAGCAUGAGAACAGGAAGCCAGAAGUUAUGGGGACACUCAAGCAGCACUAGGGAGAGGCUCAUGAGUAGAAGAACUGAGGCAUCCUGCAAACAGCCAUGGACUAACCUGUAUUGGGAGCAGAUUCUCCAGCUCCACAGGUCUGUUCCUUAGUCUCUGUUGAGGUGAAACUCCAAUAUCUGAACCCAACCAGCCAAAUAAGCAACCUGUGUACAAGCCAAGUUAAAAUUUCACUCCCGUAAUGGAUGAGGAGAAACCAGAAGACAUUUCUCAUGCACAGGGAGUGCGUGAAUCCCCUGAAUUGCCAGGUUUCAGGGUCACAUGAGACCUCUAGAAGGCUCUGCUCAUCAUCACCUUAUCAUCUG